rnacentral:rRNA from 1 species
GAUGAACGCUGGCGGCGUGCCUAAUACAUGCAAGUCGAGCGAACGGACGAGAAGCUUGCUUCUCUGAUGUUAGCGGCGGACGGGUGAGUAACACGUGGAUAACCUACCUAUAAGACUGGGAUAACUUCGGGAAACCGGAGCUAAUACCGGAUGAUAUUUUGCACCGCAUGGUUCAAAAGUGAAAGACGGUCUUGCUGUCACUUAUAGAUGGAUCCGCGCUGCAUUAGCUAGUUGGUAAGGUAACGGCUUACCAAGGCAACGAUGCAUAGCCGACCUGAGAGGGUGAUCGGCCACACUGGAGCUGAGACACGGUCAAGACUCCUGCGGGAGGCAGCAGUAGGGAAUCUUCCGCAAUGGGCGAAAACCUGACGGAGCAACGCCGCGUGAGUGAUGAAGGUGUUCGGAUCGUAAAACUCUGUUAUUAGGGAAGAACAUAUGUGUAAGUAACUGUGCACAUCUUGACGGUACCUAAUCAGAAAGCCACGGCUAACUACGUG